UAUUUCUUAAUUUAUAUAUUCAUUCCCGAAAAAAAUAGAUCUACACUGGUUAAUUUUAUUAGAAGCCUUUUGAAUAAUGUUGCAUCAUUAUGUAAAUAAAGUAGUGUAGGGGUGAAACGCUUUCAAUUUUUUUGAUAUCUGGAUUAAACUAAAAUGAAUUUAGUUCAUCAAAUAACCAUAAAGUUAUAAGAUUUUAUGGAAAGCAGAAUUCAAAUUUUUUUUUUGGAUGACGAAAUAAUUUUCAAGUUAUUACAAAGAAAUUAAAAUCCUUGUUUUAGCUAGUCUGGUUAGUUAAGUUUAUGUUUUAGUAGAUUGUCGCUAAAAUUAAUAAUGUUUAAAUUAGUAUUUUACACUAAGUAAACCGAAGGAACUCGGCAAAUAUUUGUUUUCAACUAGUUUAUCAAAAACAUAGCUUUAAGGUUAGUCGUUUAAAGUUAAAUCUGCCCAGUGACAAUAAAUUAAACGGCCGCAGUACAUUGACUGUGCUAAGGUAGCAUAAUAAAUUGACUUUUAAUUGGAGUCGGGUAUGAAAGGAUAAUUGGAAACUACCUGUCUCGGUUGUUUAUUUAAACUAACUUACUUAAAAGGUGAAAAUUCCUUUGUGUAUAUAAGUUAGACGAGAAGACCCUAAGAAUUAUAAUUAAAAAUAUAGGAGAUUUUUAAAUUUUUGUUGGGGCAACAAAUUCGGAGUAAACCGGCUGAAUAAUAUAGUUAACAUAAAAUGAUUUUUUAGAAUGAUAUAAAUUACCUUAGGGAUAACAGCAUAAUUAUCUUAAUAGAUUGUGACCUCGAUGUUGGACUAAGGACUUUAUUAAAUAGCCUUUAAUGAAGAUAGUUCUGUUCGAACUGGAAACCUUA
rnacentral:rRNA from 1 species